GAUAAACGCUGGCGGCGUGCCUAAUACAUGCAAGUUGAACGGAUGGCUUCGGCCAUGAGUAGCGAACGGGUGAGUAACACGUAGGUAACCUGCCUUGCUGACUGGGAUAACUGAACGAAAGUUUAGCUAAUACCGGAUAAAGGCCAUCAGGCAUCUGGUGGAGAAGAAAGGGGCCACGGCCCCACAGCAAGAUGGACCUGCGGCGCAUUAGCUAGUUGGUGAGGUAGCGGCCCACCAAGGUAAUGAUGCGUAGCCGAUCUGAGAGGAUGUACGGCCACAUUGGAACUGAGACACGGUCCAGACUCCUACGGGAGGCAGCAGUAGGGAAUUUUCGGCAAUGGGGGGAACCCUGACCGAGCAACGCCGCGUGAACGAAGAAGGCCU
rnacentral:rRNA from 1 species